rnacentral:rRNA from 1 species
GACGAACGCUGGCGGCGUGCCUAAUACAUGCAAGUAGAACGCUGAAGGAGGAGCUUGCUUCUCUGGAUGAGUUGCGAACGGGUGAGUAACGCGUAGGUAACCUGCCUGGUAGCGGGGGAUAACUAUUGGAAACGAUAGCUAAUACCGCAUAAGAGUAGCUGUUGCAUGACAUUUGCUUAAAAGGUGCAAUUGCAUCACUACCAGAUGGACCUGCGUUGUAUUAGCUUGUUGGUGGGGUAACGGCUCACCAAGGCGACGAUACAUAGCCGAACUGUGAGGGGGGUCGGCCAGACUGGGAGUGUGACAGGGCCCAGACUCAUACAGAAAGGGGCAGUAGGGAUACGUCGGCAAGGGGCGGAAGUCUGAGCGAGCAACGCCGCAGGAGUGAGGAGGAUUGUCGGAUCGGAAAGCUCGGUUUUAAGAGAGGAACGAGUGUGAGAGUGGAAAGUUCACACUGUGACGGUAACGUACCAGAAAGCGACGGCUAACUACGUG